GUUGGGUAGGGGAGCGUUCUGUAAGCCUGCGAAGGUGUACUGUGAGGUAUGCUGGAGGUAUCAGAAGUGCGAAUGCUGACAUAAGUAACGAUAAUGCGGGUGAAAAACCCGCACGCCGGAAGACCAAGGGUUCCUGUCCAACGUUAAUCGGGGCAGGGUGAGUCGACCCCUAAGGCGAGGCUGAAAAGCGUAGUCGAUGGGAAACGGGUUAAUAUUCCCGUACUGGUGGUAACUGCGAUGGGGGAACGGAGAAGGCUAGGUUGUCCGGGCGACGGUCGUCCCGGUUCAAGCAGGUAGGCAGAGUGAUUAGGCAAAUCCGGUCACUUAAUGCUGAGAUGUGAUGACGAACCACCAAGGUGGUGAAGCAAUUGAUGCCCCGCUUCCAGGAAAAGCCUCUAAGCUUCAGGUUACCAACAAUCGUACCCCAAACCGACACAGGUGGUCAGGUAGAGAAUACUCAGGCGCUUGAGAGAACUCGGGUGAAGGAACUAGGCAAAAUGGUGCCGUAACUUCGGGAGAAGGCACGCUGGCGGUAGGUAAAGUCCCUUGCGGACGGCGCUGAAGCCAGUCGAAGAUACCAGCUGGCUGCAACUGUUUAUUAAAAACACAGCACUGUGCAAACACGAAAGUGGACGUAUACGGUGUGACGCCUGCCCGGUGCUGGAAGGUUAAUUGAUGGGGUUAGCGCAAGCGAAGCUCCUGAUCGAAGCCCCAGUAAACGGCGGCCGUAACUAUAACGGUCCUAAGGUAGCGAAAUUCCUUGUCGGGUAAGUUCCGACCUGCACGAAUGGCGUAAUGAUGGCCAGGCUGUCUCCACCCGAGACUCAGUGAAAUUGAACUCGCUGUGAAGAUGCAGUGUACCCGCGGCAAGACGGAAAGACCCCGUGAACCUUUACUAUAGCUUGACACUGAACAUUGAGCCUUGAUGUGUAGGAUAGGUGGGAGGCUUUGAAGUGUGGACGCCAGUCUGCAUGGAGCCAACCUUGAAAUACCACCCUUUAACGUUUGAUGUUCUAACCUAGGCCCAUAAACUGGGUCGGGGACCGUGUCUGGUGGGUAGUUUGACUGGGGCGGUCUCCUCCUAAAGAGUAACGGAGGAGCACGAAGGUUGGCUAAGCAUGGUCGGACAUCAUGCGGUUAGUGCAAAGGCAUAAGCCAGCUUGACUGCGAGAGUGACGGCUCGAGCAGGUACGAAAGUAGGUCUUAGUGAUCCGGUGGUUCUGAAUGGAAGGGCCAUCGCUCAACGGAUAAAAGGUACUCCGGGGAUAACAGGCUGAUACCGCCCAAGAGUUCAUAUCGACGGCGGUGUUUGGCACCUCGAUGUCGGCUCAUCACAUCCUGGGGCUGAAGUAGGUCCCAAGGGUAUGGCUGUUCGCCAUUUAAAGUGGUACGCGAGCUGGGUUUAGAACGUCGUGAGACAGUUCGGUCCCUAUCUGCCGUGGGCGUUGGAAGAUUGAGAGGGGUUGCUCCUAGUACGAGAGGACCGGAGUGAACGCACCACUGGUGUUCGGGUUGUCAUGCCAAUGGCAUUGCCCGGUAGCUAAGUGCGGAAGAGAUAACCGCUGAAAGCAUCUAAGCGGGAAACUUGCCUCGAGAUGAGUCUUCCCUGUCGCUUUAAGCGACCUAAAGGAACGUUUAAGACUAAGACGUUGAUAGGCUGGGUGUGUAAGCGUAGCGAUACGUUGAGCUAACCA
rnacentral:rRNA from 1 species